rnacentral:rRNA from 1 species
GUCUCAGUUCGGAUUGAAGGCUGAAAUUCGCCUCCAUGAAGCUGGAAUUGCUAGUAAUGGCAGGUCAGCAUACUGCCGUGAAUACGUUCCCGGGCCUUGUACACACCGCCCGUCACACCAUGAGAGUUGGGAAUACCCGAAGCCUGUGAGCUAACUUUUAGAGGCAGCAGUCGAAGGUAGAAUCAAUGAUUGGGGUGAAGUCGUAACAAGGUAAC